ACAACUCAAGCUUCCACAAUCAGACUUAAAACCAUCUCGAGCCUCUCUAGUUAGAUUUAACGCUCAGUCUCUUUAGCCUUUAGGAACCGUGACUCUUAAAAUCUGAGUUGGUUCCCAAGAGUUGGUGACAGAGUUUGUUAUUGUGGACAUACCUUCCCCUUAUAAUGCUAUUAUUGGCCGAGAUUGGUUGCACAUGAUGAAGGAAGUGGCUUGCACAUUGCAUCAAGUCAUUAAGUUUCCAACCCCCGAGGUGAAGAAACCCUUAAUGGGGAUCAACUAGAGGCCAAACAAUGCUACCUCGCUAUCCACUAAGGCGAACAUGAAAAAUGUGCAACUUAUUGAAAAGGAUCACGAGGUCUUAGAGGAUGUCGGGAGGGACCCCAAAACUAAGGUCAUUGAGGACCUGAUACGUUAUGAACUGAAUGAGCCAAGUUUGGAUCGUUUCUUUCUUAGCGGUGCAAAUCUAGAAAAAAGAGAAAGAACCAAGCUCAUCUAGUUUUUUACAACUAAUAUUGAGGUCUUCACAUGGACACCUUACGAGAUGCCCAGGGUAUACCACAAUUUCAUCAAACACGAACUUAACGUCCUACCCGAUGCCUGACCAAGGAAACAAUAAGGAAAAAGAUCCAUAACCGAGCAUGUGAAUGCAGUGAUUGAAAAGGUGAAAAAAUAAAGGAGGCAAGUGCAUAACAAAAGUUUUCUACCCGAGUUGGCUGUCAAAAAGAGUUGUGGUAAAGAAAAAGACUAACAAAUGAAGGGUCUGCGUAGACUUCAUAAGCCUCAAUCGGGCUUGUCUGAAAGACUGCUUUCCUUUUCCAAAGAUUGAUCAAUUGGUGGACUCUACUUCGGGUCAUGUCCGGUUGAGCUUCCUGGAUGCAUACCGAGAUUACCACCAAAUAGCAAUGCACGAGCCCGACCAGGAGAAAAUUGCAUACGUCACCCCUGAGGCGUAUUAUACUACAAGGUUAAGCCCUUUAGGUUGAAAAACGCUGGCACCACAUAUCAAAGGAUGGUCAAAAUAUUUGAGCCAAUCUUAGGUAAAACCAUAGACGCAUAUAUCGACGAUAUGGUGGUUAAAAGGAAAAAAGAGUCAGACCAUGUCAGAGAUCUAACCGAGGUGUUCAAAAUACUAAGAAGACACGAGCUAAGACUGAACGCAGUGAAGAAUGCCUUUGAGGUGAACUCGAAAAAAUUCUUAGGGCACUUAGUGACAAGACGAGGGAUCGAUGCGAAUCCAUAAUAAAUUACGGCGAUCAACAAUCUCGUCAGCCCAAGGACUGCAAAUGAGGUUAAAAAACUGACCGAAAUGAUAGCAACACUAAAUAGAUUAAUCAAUAAGUCCUUUAAUAAAUGCCGUCCAUUUUUCAAACUCAUUCGCAAAAAUACAAAGUUUCUAUGGAAUGAGGAGUGCGAGCUCGCAUUUCAAAAGUUCAAAAUAUUAAAACCACCACUUCUUUCUACUUUGGAUGAGGGAGAGUUGUUCUAUGUUUAUCUCGCUGUCUCUAAACAUGCCACUAGCUCAGUUCAAAACGUUUACAAAUUGCCAAAUAAGGUAUCUGUCACUGAAGAAGCUCGUUCUGGCCUUGGUUUUAACUUUGCGAAAACUCAUGCACUACUUUCAAGCCUAUCCUAUCGCUGUGUAUACAGAGUUUAUGCUUAAAAAUAUUUUAUCAAAAGCAAUAAAAACUCAUGCACUACUUUCAAGCCCAUCCUAUCACUGUGCAGACUUGUCCGGCCGACUCUUCAAAUAGGUUGUCGAGCUUGAACAAUUAGAUAUAAAAUUCCUGCCAAGGGCACUAAUAAAAGGACAAGUCUUGGCCAAUUUUGUGAUGGAGUUCUCUCCUCAAGUUGUGAGUCUAGAGCAAGGUUACCUUGUGUCUACACAUAGAGGGGAGGAGAGCUCAGAGGCAAGAUCCCCCGAGAUUCAAUCAGUACCCGGGGAUCAAGAGGUUAUUCGAGAACCGCCCCAAAAUGUAGAAAUAAUCGACGCUAAUGGGAUCUUUGCCGUUUCAGAGGUUAUUGAAGAACCACCUCAUAUUGAUCUCACCUUGUCCUAAAAAAUGUUUACUGAUGGAGCGAGAAAUAGCUUGGGUGCAGAGGUAGGAAUAGUUUUAAGAAGUCCAAAGGAGCAAUUUUUGAACAUUGUCUCAUACUGAAUUUUUCUACAACAAACAACGAAGCCGAAUAUGAAGCCUUCAUUGUGGGACUACAGCCUGUCAGCACACUAAAGGUUCUCGAGUUUUACAUAUUCAGUAACUCAAAACAAGUGAUCAACCAAGUCACAUAAAAAUUAGAAGCUCGAGGGGUCAAGAUGGCUAAAUAUUUGGUAGUGGCUAAGAAUCUCCUUACCGGAUUUAAAGUAGUAAAAAUCGAGCAAGUAGGGAGGGACUUAUAUUCACAUGCAAAUGCACUGCCACGCUUGGCAUCAAUUUUUGAAGGAGAGGUAGGUCGGACCAUCACAAUCGAUUUGAUCUUGGCUCUCAAUUAUGAAAUGCCUCAAGAAUUCAUCUUAGUCAACACUGAGUAGGGGCCAAGCUGGAUGGAUCCAAUUGUGAAUAUUAUAUGACACGAAAAGCUACCAGAAGACAAGAAAGAGAUGCAGAACUCCAAAUAAAUGCAGACAGUUCUGGAUCUCCCCCAUCAGGACUUGUACAAAAGUUCGUAUAUGGGACUCUACCUGUUGUGCGUCCACCUGAGCCUAGUUGAGGACAUACUUUUUGAAAAUUCACGAACGCAUGUGUAGACUACACUCAGGGGGGAGAUCACUGGCUCCCUGAGUCCUAGCUCAAGGAUAUUGGUGGCCAUACAUGCAAAAAAAUACCAAAGUGUAUGUCUUCAAAUAUACCAAAUACCACAUCUUCUCCCCCCUAAUUCAUCAACCAACAAGGGAUUUGAUCACUCUAACUAGUCCAUGGCCCUUUGCCCAAUGGGGGACAUUGUAGGGGUCCAGCCCUAAGCUUCAGGGAAUAAGAAACUCUUGUUAGCGGCAACAGACUACUUUACAAAGUGGGUGGAGGCCGAACCUCUAGCCUAAAUUAGGGAGGUUGACGUAAUCAGGUUUAUUCGUAGAAACAUUCUAUCCAGGUUUGGCAUCCCCAAGGCGUUCGUAUCAGACAAUGGAACUUAGUUCAUCGGCAAAAAAGUUAAAGAAUUAUUGGGAUAGUUGAAGAUCGAGUUCUAUAACUCAACACCGAGCUAAUACAGUGCAAUGGGCAAGUUGAGGCCACCAACAAAACAAUCAUGAACGGGAUCAAGAAGAGGCUUGAAAAAGCCGAUGAAAAAUGGGUCGAGAAACUGUCAAACAUUUUGUAGGUCAUCGGACCACACCACAAAAAGUAACGAACGAAAUGCCUUACAUUUUGUCUUUCGGAUUUGACGCUAAUCCCGCUAAGGUCGGUUUGCCCACAAUAUGGACUAAGGCAUACGACAUCAGUCACAAUUAGCUCAGUACCUCGACCUUGAUGACGAACGAUAAGAAAAUGCACUAAUACGAAUGGAUGACUAUCAGAAGCAAUUAGUUAAGACUUACAACCAGAAGGUCCAACACAGAUAAUUUUCAGUUAGAGAUCUCGUUCUAAGAAAAGUUGUUGAAAAUACCAAGGACUCGGCGGACAGGAAGCUACAAGAUAGUCAAGCUCGUCGUCAAGGGCGAUUACUACCUCGAUGAUCCCAAAGGCAAAUUAGCUCCGAGACCUUAGAAUUCCAACAACUUGAGAAAAUACUACAAUUGAAAUGUAAUCUCUCGGUCCGAGCUGGAAUUUAUAUCAAAUACACUUGUAAAAACUUUUUACUUAAAGAUUCUAUUUUCUGCCCUAACAUUCGACUUAAGCAUUACAAGCCAAAGCUAGAGAAAAGCACUAUGCACUACAAGCAUGCCAAAAAUAGCAAAUUCUUGUUAAGGCAUGACCUAACCUAACCAAAUGAGCUUUUCCAAGUUUGAAAAAGAAUACAUCCUUAUAAUUGGGUCGAGUAGCAAAAAUUUAGGGAAGAGUUAACCGAGCUCAAUGUGAGUUCCGAGUUUUGUCCCACAAGCUUUCCCUAAAGUAUACUUAGCAACAUUUAAGGAAGAGUUAGCUAAGCUCUACUCGAGCUCUUACCCACGAAUUUUGCCUAAGUAUACUUAGAAAAAAUUUAGGAAAGAGUUAGUCGAGGUUCACGCGAACUCCGAGCUCUGUCCCAUGAGUUUUUCCUAAGUAUACUUGGCAAAACAUUUGAGAAAAAAGUUAGCCGAGCUCUACACAAACUCUGAACUCUUUUUCACGAGUUUUGCCUAAGUAUACUUAGUAAAAAUAAUUUUUUUAAGAAAGAAUUAGCUGACCUUAAUGCGAGUUCCAAACUCUGCCCCUCGAGAAUUAAGUGGAAACUUUCAAGUAGAAAAUGAAAUGCAAGCGAGGUCCAGAAAGAAAGUUCAUUCAUCACAGAAAAUUAUUUAACUACAGAGUUGUUCAACUAUAGAAUUGUUCACAAAUAGAAAAUUGUUCAAGUACAGAGUUGUUCAACUACACAAUUAUCCCAAAAUAAAAAAUUGUUCAAAUACAAAGUUGCUCAAGUACAAAAUUGCGAGCUCUUUCAUACAAGCAAGCAAGCCAUCUUGGAAGCAGUCUGAGCUUUAUUGGGUAACCCUUGUGGUUAGUUGCCUCAGAUAAUAGAUAUGGUCGACUGGGAACGUGGUCAUCUAAAAGAUAUCCAUGAUUUGACUUCGGCCCAUGAAAUAGAUGUUGCACGACAAUAUUUUCUAACUAGGUUGAGGUCUGCAAUAUCGAUACCAGCAAAACUAUACUUAUAGAGCAUUUGUUGCUCGCAUCAUAUUAUUUAUCAUCUAUGGGAGAGUUUGUCGCCUUGAAUGAUGAUUCAAAGAACACAAACGUUUGGAUAUAUCAAAAAUGAUCAGAAGUUUCAUAUCAUGGAACUAGCUCAGUAACGAUCAAUUGUGAAUUGUGGAAGAACUUUUUAGGACACAGGGUGCAAAACGGCUAACCGUGAGCAAACGAGCUCUGCCCUAACGAAGCUUUGAUUUGCCUAGUAUAAAAAAAAAGACUACUUUAUUUAUUUCCUAAAGAAACUAUCAGAACCUCCUACCGCAAUCAAAACUAUUCACAACAAAAGGGCUUGGGGGACAAAACCCCAAGGCUAAUGGUUUCAAUCCUAGGGGACGACUAGGGUUUUAGAUAGAGGAAGACUAAGAAAAGCCUAAAAAAUUUGGGAUACAGGCAAUAAGGGAUCUAGAGAAUUUAUAGUAGCAGAAGGAAAGAGAAAAGACCGCAAUUAAAAAGGGAGGCAAACAAACCACAAUUAAAAAGGCAAGUGAAGUGGCAGGAUGAGGCAGCCCAAGCCUUGGGACAUGUCAUUCUCAGGACCUAGUCGUAGUGGGUGAAAUAGUGGAUGAAGUUAUUGUACUUGGUUCUCAGGACCUAGUCGUAGUGGUCAUGAUCUAAAAAAUUUGUGGCUGAUUUUUAGAAACUUAGGCUCUAUAUCUUGUCGCGCAAUAGUGUGAACCCAUUGAGAGAAAAAAUAUCUUGGGAUUUUAAAUGUGUUCAAGGUGACUGCAGCUAAGAGUCGUCAAUGGGCCGGGUUGGGCCAACACAAGCUCAUUUUGGACAGAUUGAGUUUCAUGAUUUUUGACCGGUCAAUGGACCGGAUUAAAUUUGGGCUGGACUUGAAAGAUGAAAUUGGGCCUAGGGCCUUUUAAAUAAUAUUUUUUUAAAAAUAUAUUUUAUUUUAAAUUAAAAGACCUAAAAUUUAAAGCUGAAAAAAAUAAUUGUAGUCAUAAAAUCAUCCAUAAUAUUAAUCUUUUACAAAUAAAAACAUAAAUAUUAUAAAAAUUAAUACAUUCAAGUUGGGCCUGGCAGAGUUUAUGGAUCGAACAGGAGCCGGCCCACGGGCUUUCAGACUUGGACCCAAGUUCAGCUUAUACUAUCUCGAGCUCGAGCCGAACUUGGAUCCUCUAAGUCAUAGGCUGGGCCAAAUCCCAUUAACCAAGACUGGACCUAGACCCGGGCCGAGUCAUGAACCCGCGAGCUUUUUAAUGAGGCUUAACUCCAGCUCUCAUCUCUGGAACUUAUUUUCCAAGAAUUUUUUUGUCUCUUUCCACAUUUAUUUUCCACUUGUGUAAAAUGGUGCCUUGAGGAUCAAUUACCUCUCGUUUUCCUGGAAAGUGAAAGUUGUGGUGCACAACAGCCGUUGUGGGCCGUCUUUGAAGUCUUCUCAAAGAAAAAUAUAGUAUUGUUGAGUGAGAAAAAUUCAGAUAAUCUGAUUAGAGGAUUUUUUUAUUUUUUUUUUGAGAUGAUAUUCUUGACCUGCUUGUCUCUUGUGUUAACAAGUGGGAAUGGUGUUAGUUGACAAUAUGUCAUUGGAGUUAUCUGCUUUAAGUUAUGUCAGAUAAUUGAGAACACAAAUUCUGACUCUCAAGCUGAGUGUCUAUUUUUUAUUUUUUAUGUUUGUUUAGUUUUAUUUAUUUUUUAUAAAAUAUAAAUUAAAAAUAUAUUUAUUUUUAUCUUAUUUUAAAUUAUUUAAAAAUAAAAUUAUGGUGUCGGUGGUUGUAGAAACAGAGAUCGUGGAGGAGGUGAUGGUAGAGGUGGUGGCGUUAGUAGUAGUGGAGGCGGCGGAGACAGCGACGGUAGAGACGUGGCACACAUGAAUAGUGCAUUUGCCGAAAAUAAAUUUUGUAAACAAAUAAAAAAUUAUAUUUUGAUAUUUUUACUAUUUUAAUAAAUAGUGAAAAUAAUUUUAUAUUAUUUUCAAUUAUAAGUAGUAACACAAACAAAUUCUUAUUUACAUUUGUACUAAAAAUAAAAAAAAAUGAAAUAGUUACCACAUAAGCCUUUUAAGUAAUUGCCUAUGACACGAGCCCAUUUAACUUGUUUGCUAGAGCCUUAGACUUCUCAAUUUCUAAGUCCUGGCUCGUACAUAUGAAACUCUUCAAGCUCCCCAAAGUGGUGAACUUGAAAUCCAUACCUAUCAAGCAAGCCCAAAAAGUCCUAAUGGUACAACACUUGUACAUCCAUUUAUAAAUAAUAUAUUUUUUAAAGUUUUUGUUGGUGGUAAUUUGUGGCGAUGGGGUGGAUUGAUAUGUUCACGUUUCCUUCCUUUUUUUUUUUUCUUUCGCCCUCUAUGUUUUUUGAUCUAAACCAAAUCAUAACGAAGACUUGUAUUCCACUCUAUUGGUGGUUUGUGUUUACGACUUAAUCGUUUUUUUCUCAAUUCCUCUAUAUCUCUCAGUUAAUUUUAGUCGAUGCAUAUCCUUUUUCUUGAUACCAUCCCAUCCCAUCCCAAUUUCGGUCAAACCAAGAAAAGAUGCCAAGUGCCCGUUCGUUUUGUCAGAAUUCAUGAACUUCGAAUUCCUUUUUUCUUUGUUGUUUGUCUUGGUGUGUUAUCUAUUGGUGAAAUUAACGAACAUUGUUUUAAACUGAACCAAUCGCGUGGAAAGGAGUCCUCACUGUAAAAAUCCGAACACAAAAUUUAUUUCUAAUUAAUUAUUAGAAAUCAUGGGCAAAUUACUUCAUAUGCAAAGUAAGAUUUCUUAUAUUGGGAUGUGUUUCUCUCGGCUAGUGCAUAGUUUGUUGCCUUCUUCUCUUGGUGCUUUUGUAGCUUUUACAUUGACAUCAAUAAAUUUCUUUUGGGGAUACAAAAAAAAAAUGAAAAAGAAAACAAGCAUGUGCUUCGUCAUGUAGAUGAUGUGCGCUUUCCACAUCUAAUGCCUAAUCUCGGGUAAAUAACGAUAGUUUCUUUCUUUCUUCUUCUUUUGCCUAUAUUGGGGAUUCAGAUGCACUUUCCAAAAUGAGAAAGAGAAGCUUGAGCAUGGAGGGAAAAAUCAACCCUUGUCCUAGUGAGGUAUAGGAGCCCAUAGCAAACUUAGGUAGCAAUAGUUAGGGUAAAUUACGCUAGCAGAUUCUGUAGGUUUGGAAAACGCUUUAAUUAGUCUAUAUUUUGAGUUUGAACAUUGUCUUUCUGGAAUUCUUAUCUCAAAUUUAAAAACUAACACAAAAUACCAUGCUAGAAUGUGCCUUGAGGGCAUCAAAAGUAACCUUCACCACAUAAUCAUCCCCUGAAUAUGGGUUAUCCUUCCUUUCAUUGAUAAACCUCGUACAAUCGUCAUUAAUGCGAGAAACAAGGGGGCUUCGUCUCAUAGUUGCUCAAAACCAUUAACAUCAUAUACAACCCAUUCCAGAAGAACUUAUUUUAGAAUCUUAGCCCAGAUUAAUGUCUUACUAGUUGAAGUACAUUCAUUUUCUCUCCUUUCUCUCCUCUUUUUCACUCGACACACCUACAUUGUUCUUCACUUCUUCUUGCAUACAAAUAAAAAUUUUUUUAUAUGAGAUUGAAUCUUUAGUUCAGGAUCUUGAUGACUGCGAUUACUGUGGUAUGUAAAAACGCUCAAGUUUUUCACGUUGACCAACGUAAAGCUUCAAUAUGAAAUCUUCAUCCAGUAUUCAGUCACUGUCUUAUUCCAGGACACUUUGUGCAUAUUUGUUCAGUAUCACGCUCUCACAGAUUUCUAUGAAAUUAUAAAUUGUUUGAACUUGAGCCACCCAAUCGUUUUUAAAUUGGAAGCUUGAUUUGGGACUAUCAUACUUUUUUUUUUCAAGCCUGUUGAAUUUCCUCUGUAGGUGAGCUGUGUGUACUAGCAGCUACAACCAUGAUCCUACUUUCAUCUUCCCCGAGGAAAUGGGAACUAAGCCAUGUCUCCACUGGUUUCUUCUUGAUUAUCAAUGCUCCACAACUCCCCCAAACCCAAUGAAUCCCAUUCCUACACUGAUGGAGAACCAUAGCUUUUCAAACUUACCCUCAUCAUCUGUGUCUUUUCUUCCUCUCCUCCAGGGGCUGGCCCACCGACUUCCGUACACUUGGUCCAUGUGGAAGACCACAAAGUCAGCGAGGUACUCGUUCAAUUGAAUGGAUCAUUGAGGGUCUGGAACUGGUUGCGUGUGGGGAUUUGACACAGACAAAUUGUUUAUCUGAACAGGUUCAAUAUGCAGAAAUCGAGCAUGCCUAACCUGUGGAAUAGGCACCUGAAAGCAUCGUUCAUGUAGAGAGUCGAGGAGUUGGUUUCUAACCUUUGUAAGUUUUCCAAUCUUCUCUGGUAUUUUCCGUCAAGUGAUUCAUUGAUUCAGUUCAUUUAGGUAUCGCCAACAUGUAAAAGGCUGGUAGCUCUUUGUGGAAAUGUCUCCAGAUAAAUUAUUGCCAGAGAGAUCUAACGACUAUUCACAAGGUAAAGGAUGGGCGCCUGAUAUUCAAGUUGUUUUCUUUCCCAUUUGAACCACCUUCAAGUAUCCAUCAUAUCGCUCAGUAUCCGUAACUUAAUCUCAGUUUUUCAGGUGGCACUCAGAUUCCCUAAACAGGGUGAAUUUUCUCCUGACCCGCUUAUUUUGCGAAGAGUCCAGUAUGUGAAAGAAGAGAGGCUACAGAUUUGUGAGGAACCUUCCAGCAAAUGAUUUUCCGCACACGGAGAUCAAAUAAAGAUGGCAUGCUUUCUCCCAUCCCGAUGGGAAGGUUUCCCGGAUAGUGAUUGUCUCCAAUAUCAAGGUUUCCCAUGUUGGUACAAUUCUUCAAUGCGGAAGGGACUUCCCCGGAAAGAUUAUUCUUACUGAGCAUUAAGAAUUUGAGGAAAUUUGGGGAACCCAUUGAGCUUGGUAUUGUACCAGUUAGACUGUUGUUUGACAUAUCAAGGAAGUACA
rnacentral:lncRNA from 1 species